GUUAAAAUUCACACAGGUUGGGAGAAUAAAGUGUCCACUUCUGUUGGUGAAUGGUGAUGAUGAUCAGACUUUUCCUGCAGUUGAAUCUGCUGAAGAUAUGGCAAUGAUGAUGGAGAAAGCAGGAAAUCGACACUUGAUGGAAGUCCUGACAUAUCAUGGCGCGGGUCAUCUGAUUGAACCUCCAUACUUGCCUACCAUUCAUUCAACAAACUACUAUUUAAUAUGGAAAAAAAAGAGAGUUGUCAUGCUAUGGGGUGGACAAACCAAACUGCACGCAUACGC